UGCCCGGUUAAUUUUGUAUUUUUAGUAGAGACAGGGUUUCACCAUGUUGGUCAGGCUGGUUUCCAACAACACAUAAAGAAGCACACAGCCAUUGUAACUGUAACUACCGACCUCAGGUGAUCUGCCUACCUCGGCCUCCCAAAGUGCUGGGAUUACAGGUGUGAACCACCACACUCAGCCUAAUUUUGUUGAAUGACUGAUGACUGUUGUUCAAAGCAUCCCUAGGGCUUCUCCAGCAUCCAUCAGGUUGAAUGCAAAAUUUGAGGAUAAAGAAUAAAGGGGUUAUUGACUACCCUCUGAACCUCCUCCUGUUGGCCCCUCCUAUCUUUGGCUGUGGGAGCAGAGUUUAGCAGCUGUUCCAGGUAGAGUGUGGUAUGCCUGACUUGCUCUGUGAGAGAUUUGGUCCCCAGGGAAUUAGUUGUCGCCAAUUGUUUUCAGUGUGUCCUCUUGGCUUUGCCCUCUUCCCCAACCGAUGCUUAUAGGAGGCUCUAUUCUCCACCCCCUCCCACCCACCCAAAGCACUAACACGCACUGGCAGCAUUCACAAACAUACCCAUCACCAACUGCACCCCAGGUGUUGUGGUCUACUCUCAUCACCUGGGCUCACAGUGACACCAAUUACCACGGGAUUAUCUGUCCUCUUCUAUGUUCGAGCUCUUAGUGUGUGGACUGUCCCACAUUCACUUGAGACAGUAUAACCAGUCCUCUACCUAUUUGGUAUCACUACCAGUUUCCUUGGGACAUGAGCCCAAGGUACAGUCUGAUCCAAACUCUCCCCUUCCUUCAACCAAGCGCUUCAAGUUAUUCCUCCCUGGUCUAAGCCCAGCAUUAUUUCUUUCUUAGAAUUCUUAGAAUGUCAGAGCUGGUGGGGAGGUGGUGGGGACCUCAGAACCUUGACAAUCCCCUGGUUCUUGGCUUGGGGUCCAGAUUCCUAGGAGUCCAAAACAGUAGGGAGGGGGCCUAAAGUUUCUGACAUUUUGUUUUUUUUAUAACAUUUUUUUUUUCUAACUACAAAGUAAUGCAUGCUUAAUGUAGAAAACUUGGGAAAGGCAGAAGUAUACGAGAAUUUUAAAAAUCGCCCUGUCUGUCCCGUUCAUCCCUUUAGCUUCAGUGAUCCAGUGCCUGGCACAGAUACAGAUUAGGUACUUAAUACACAUUUGUUAAACAAAUUAUCUUCAAUUCCAUUACCCAGAGAUAAAAACCACAGUUAACUUUUCUUUUUCUUUCUUUUUUUUUGGAGAGAUGGAGUCUCGAACUCCUGGGCUCAGGCGAUGCUCCCGCCUCUGCCUCCCAAAGUGCUGGAAUUACAGGUGUGAGCUCUCGUGCCGGCCACACAGUUAGCUUUUGCUUGUUUCGCCUUCAAACCUUUUGUAUGUAUUUUAUACAAAGGGGAUUAUAUUAUACACCUUCGUAGCCUGCUUUUUUCCUCUCAGCAAUAUACUUACUAUGUGUGUUUUCCCAUAUUAAUAGCUUCUUCACAACACCAUUUAUAAUAUUUAAUACUUUCAUAUCAUUCCUUCAAAUGGCUAUACCUUUUCCUAGCCAAUUCUGGGAACAACCGACCCCCGGCAUUCGGCAUGGGCUCCGGACAGAAUGUGUACUGUAAUGAUCGCGCCCCACCCCCAUCCAAUUCUCCAGAUAGGACGCUAAGUUCCUGCCAGCAGCUGCAGCCCGUCUCCUGACUGAAAGUUCAGGCUGCUGCUCCAACAUAGUGCCACUCAGAGGAGGGCCCCACACCUGUCCCACCCCGCCCUGCCCUUGCCGGCGCCGCGCAGCUAAGGCGCCUCCCUGGCGGUGGGGCAGGACGAAAGAGACCCUGCGCGGUCCGGCCGGCCGCCGCGCAUGCUCCUUCCUGCGCGCUGCCCUCCCCGGCCCCGCCUCCGCGGCUCCCGCCCUAGAGCGGUUAGGGUUUGAAUCUGCCGCGGGUUGCAGCCGGAAGUGUCGAUCCCCUAGCCAGGCAUGGAGAUCCACUACCCGGGUGUGCGGUCCCCGGUGCAAGAGCAGCGUGCCCGCUGGGAGCGGAAACGCGCUUGCACCGCCCGGGAGCUGCUAGAGACUGAGCGGCGCUACCAAGAACAGCUGGGGCUGGUGGCCACGUACUUUUUGGGGAUCCUGAAAGCCAAGGGGACCCUGCGACCACCUGAGCGCCAGGCCCUGUUUGGCUCCUGGGAGCUCAUCUACGGCGCCAGCCAGGAGCUGCUUCCCUACCUGGAAGGAGGAUGCUGGGGCCAAGGGCUGGAGGGCUUCUGCCGCCACUUGGAGCUCUAUAACCAAUUUGCUGCCAACUCAGAGAGAUCCCAGACCACCCUGCAGGAGCAGCUAAAGAAAAAUAAAGGUUUCCGGAGGUUUGUGCGGCUUCAGGAAAGCCGCCCUGAGUUUGGGGGCCUUCAGCUCCAGGACCUACUCCCUCUGCCUCUGCAGCGGCUCCAGCAGUAUGAGAAUCUCGUCAUUGCUUUGGCUGAAAACACAGGUCCCAACAGCCCUGACCAUCAACAGCUCACACGGGCUGCCCGACUGAUAAGUGAGACUGCCCAGAGAGUCCACACUAUUGGUCAGAAACAGAAGAACGACCAGCACCUUCGGCGUGUCCAGGCUCUGCUCAGUGGACGCCAGGCAAAGGGGCUGACCUCAGGGCGCUGGUUCCUACGCCAGGGCUGGCUGUUGGUGGUGCCUCCCCAUGGGGAGCCUCGGCCCCGCAUGUUCUUCCUCUUCACUGAUGUGCUGCUCAUGGCCAAGCCUCGACCUCCACUGCACCUGCUGCAGAGUGGCACCUUUGCCUGCAAGGCCCUCUACCCCAUGGCCCAGUGUCAACUCAGCAGGGUCUUUGGCCACUCAGGAGGCCCUUGUGCUGUCCUUCCCUCAUGAGAAGCUACUGCUUAUGUCCACAGACCAGGAGGAGCUGUCACGCUGGUACCACAGUCUGACUUGGGCUAUCAGCAGCCAGAAAAACUAGAGGAAUCUUACAGAUUCCACAACUCAGGAUACCUCAGGGAUAGGUCACAGCCAGGAGUACAAAGGAAUCUUCUUCAGUACUGAACAAAACAGAACCUUUCAUGAUUUGACAAAGGUCACUUUGUGUUUACCUGGACCAAGCUACUCAAGAUCACCUGACCAACUCUUAAAAAUCACGACCAGGCACAGUGGCUCAUGCCUGUUAUCCCAGCACUUUGGGAAGCAGAGGUGGGAGGAUCAUUUGAGCCCAGGAGUUCAAGACCAGCCUGGGCAACACAGUGAGUGAGACCCUGUCUCUAUUUAAGAAAAAAUAAUUAAGAAAUUUUAUUAAAAAAGAAUCAGGAAACCAAGUCUGACCCAACUGAACCAGCCCCUAACACAGAUGAGGGGAUUUGGGACUGAUAAGCUCCGUGCUGUGUCCAUGGCCCAUCAUUUAUCAAGGCUGCAGCUUUGUAAAUGUGGCUAUUUUUAUGUUGUGUAUAGUUUCUAUCAUUUAUUUUUCCACUGGAUUUGAGUAAAGUUUUUUCUUUUUUUGGGGAAAGACCCUUCUGUCUCAGUUUUGCUAUGAGAAAAGGGAUUUU